rnacentral:piRNA from 1 species
UGUGAUGUUUUCAGUCACACCUGUGACUUGC